rnacentral:rRNA from 1 species
AUGGAAAGUAAUUCCCUGAGGGGCUUGUUCCGGGUAUCUUCACCCUGUCCAGUAGAGCAAAGAGUUGCUCCUCAACCUACUGAACCUAUUGAAAAUGAAACUCCUUUUGAAUUUCCUUCGGGUAUGAUGGAAAAACUGCUAGCUAACCCUUUUACAGGAGAUGGAACAAAGCAUCCUGAUGAGCACUUAAUAUAUGUGGAUGAAGUUUGUGGUUUAUUUAAGCUUGCAGGUAUACCCGAUGAUGUUGCUAAGAAGAAGGUCUUCCCUUUAUCUUUGAAGGGAGACGCAUUGAUAUGGUAUAGGCUAUGUGAUGAUAUGAGAUCAUGGGACUAUAAAAGAUUGAAGCUGGAAUUUCAUCAAAAGUAUUACCCUAUGCAUCUUGUUCAUCGUGAUCGCAAUUAUAUAUACAUAAUUUCUGGCCUCGCGAAGGAGAAAGCAUAA